GUAUCAGAAGUGCGAAUGCUGACAUGAGUAACGAUAAAGGGGGUGAAAAACCUCCUCGCCGGAAGACCAAGGGUUCCUGUCCAACGUUAAUCGGGGCAGGGUAAGUCGACCCCUAAGGCGAGGCCGAAAGGCGUAGUCGAUGGGAAACGGGUUAAUAUUCCCGUACUUCUUACAAUUGCGAUGGGGGGACGGAGAAGGCUAGGUGGGCCUGGCGACGGUUGUCCAGGUUCAAGUGCGUAGGCU
rnacentral:rRNA from 1 species